UCUUUCAAACGGUUGUAAUUUGGCUUAGGUUGCAAGAAAGGAUCAUGAUUAAGAGAAUUCAAAAAGGUUGCCUAUCCUAAGGGAGCAUUCCCAAAGAUUCAACUCUACCAAUUUCCUUUUCCUUGGUUCCUAUCUUUUCUUUUCAAAUCCACACAACCAUGAGCAUAUAAUUUUUUUUAUUUUUUUUUUAUUUUUUAUUUUUUUAUUUUUUUAUGCUCUAUGGUUUCAAGGGUGAUUUCUUUUUCUUGUUUCUUUUCAUAUUCUUACCCUUCCAAAGAAACUCACUAUUCCAAGUUCCCUAUCAACUCUUCACUUUACUCUCCCUAACUUUAGAUUCCACAACCGAUUUAUUCAAUAAUGCUCCCUACUUAAGAAUAAGCAAAAGGCAAAAUUUUUUGCAAACAACUCGGUUUGAGGUUUCAACUGAUAUGAAAGAAAUUAGGAUUCAUUUAUUCCACAAUUUUCAAUUGAUUUUACAAUGAUCAAUCAAAUGAAUCCUAACAAGCUCAAAGGGGGUUAACUAAGGAUUACUCCUCACAAGGUUCGUUGAUUUAAGCUUUU
rnacentral:lncRNA from 1 species